rnacentral:rRNA from 1 species
GACGAACGCUGGCGGCGUGCUUAACACAUGCAAGUCGAACGGAAAGGCCCUGCUUUUGUGGGGUGCUCGAGUGGCGAACGGGUGAGUAACACGUGAGUAACCUUCCCUUGACUUGGGGAUAACUUCAGGAAACUGGGGCUAAUACCGGAUAGGAGCUCCUGCUGCAUGGUGGGGGUUGGAAAGUUUCGGCGGUUGGGGAUGGACGCGCGGCUUAUCAGCUUGUUGGUGGGGUAGUGGCUUACCAAGGCUUUGACGGGUAGCCGGCCUGAGAGGGUGACCGGCCACCUUGGGACUGCGGUACGGCCCAGACUCCAACGGGAGGCAGCAGUGGGGAAUAUUGCACAAUGGGCGGAAGCCUGAUGCAGCAACGCCGCGUGCGGGAUGACGGCCUUCGGGUUGUAAACCGCUUUCGCCUGUGACGAAGCGUGAGUGACGGUAAUGGGUAAAGAAGCACCGGCUAACUACGUG